rnacentral:rRNA from 1 species
UCAGGCUCAGGACGAACGCUGGCGGCGUGCUUAACACAUGCAAGUCGAACGAUGACGGUGGUGCUUGCACCGCCUGAUUAGUGGCGAACGGGUGAGUAACACGUGAGUAACCUGCCCUCCACUUCGGGAUAACCUCGGGAAAUCGUGGCUAAUACCGGAUAUGAGCACUCAUCGCAUGGUGGGUGUUGGAAAGAUUUAUCGGUGGGGGAUGGACUCGCGGCCUAUCAGUUUGUUGGUGAGGUGAUGGCUCACCAAGACGAUGACGGGUAGCCGGCCUGAGAGGGCGACCGGCCACACUGGGACUGAGACACGGCCCAGACUCCUACGGGAGGCAGCAGUGGGGAAUAUUGCACAAUGGGCGAAAGCCUGAUGCAGCGACGCCGCGUGGGGGAUGACGGCCUUCGGGUUGUAAACCCCUUUCAGUAGGGAAGAAGCGAGAGUGACGGUACCUGCAGAAGAAGCGCCGGCUAACUACGUGCCAGCAGCCGCGGUAAUACGUAGGGCGCAAGCGUUGUCCGGAAUUAUUGGGCGUAAAGAGCUUGUAGGUGGCUUGUCGCGUCUGCCGUGAAAACCCGAGGCUCAACCUCGGGCGUGCGGUGGGUACGGGCAGGCUAGAGUGUGGUAGGGGAGACUGGAACUCCUGGUGUAGCGGUGAAAUGCGCAGAUAUCAGGAAGAACACCGAUGGCGAAGGCAGGUCUCUGGGCCAUUACUGACACUGAGAAGCGAAAGCAUGGGUAGCGAACAGGAUUAGAUACCCUGGUAGUCCAUGCCGUAAACGUUGGGCACUAGGUGUGGGGGACAUUCCACGUUUUCCGCGCCGUAGCUAACGCAUUAAGUGCCCGCU